GCCAGCUGCGUGAAUUAAUGUGAAUUGCAGGACACAUUGAACAUCGAUAUCUUGAACGCAUAUUGCGGGCCUCGGGCAUUCCCGAGGCCACGCCUGUCUCAGGGUCGGUUACACGUCAAUCGCGAAGCCGCUCUCCGGUAUGGCUCGCGCAGUGGCGGUCGCAGGGUUCGCCCUUCGUCCGCUCAAGCAGAGACGGGUUCAACUCGAUCGUCGGCGAUCGGGACGGUGACUCGACGACUUGUGCGCCGCACCGCAUCUCCCGGUCGCGAUCGAGGCGAACCAAACACAUCUAACACUGACUUCGACCUGAGAUCNGACGAGAUUACCC
rnacentral:misc_RNA from 1 species